AUGGUAGUGUCACUCAUUCUCCUCCAGAUACGUGGUCAGAUGGGUAGAGCAGUGCUGUUAUGCAGUGCUAAAUUACAGCAGCUAGUAGGAGAGCUACGAUUAUUUUCCCUGUCACUAAAGUUCAGCGUGUGCUGUUGCAUCCACGUGGACACCCGUUGCCUGAACCGACGUGUAUCAUCAGUCUGGAGAAGUGAGUUCAUUCAGAUCAACAGGACAAGACAGACCCGAUGCGCAGUAGAAAAGCAAGCCGGAUAUCUUCAUUUGACCAUCUUUCAGUUUCCUGUGCACACGAGACUGCCUACCACUGAUGACCUCCCUUCCCAUCCAUUUAACUCCAAGUUCAACAGGGGUAAACACUAAUCCAGGAACGCUGUCAUGCCAGGGUUACCUUGUGCAUCUGUGGAGUCCCGUAGGUUGUCAAACAACUCCAGUUAAAGGCAAGCAAUUAAGGGCAGGAGGCUGCAAUCACCAUGAGGUCUAGAGUCCGAGAUACUGUGGAGGAAUGCCAUCUUCUGUGAAACAAUGUCUCUUCCUUGAGAUUAAGUCCUGCAUUUAGCUAUCCAAAUCUGGCAGCCUAUGCUUCUGCCUUAAAGCUUUCUCAUUUGCACAGACAAGGAGAAAAUACAGAGUCCUAAAAUGUUCCAGGAGAGCUUGGUUUUAAAAAAUGUGAGUUUUUACUAUUUUUUCUCCCUCUUUGAGUUUUGCACUAUUACAGAUUGUUUUUUAAGUUUCAUUAUUUACUUUUCUUCCCUUAUACUGAACACCUGACAUUUGUCUUGGCGAUCGAUGCUUCUGUUCGGCCUCACACCAGACUGUUUUUUUCUCUGUGGUUAACACGUCUCAUUUACUGAAGUCCUCAGUUUCAAAUCAUUGCCACACACAUCUAUACCAUUGGUAUAACACCACUGGAGAUAUACAUAUAUAUAUAUAUAUACAUACAAAUUUCCCCUUACAAAAAUUAUCUUUCAUGGAGGGCUUAUUGAGUGUGUUGUCCUCCUAAGCUCUUGCCUGCAAACUGCAAAGCUCUUGGUCACCCACAUUCUGGAAGGACUGAUUUGUCUCCUAGACCCAGGAGUCCGCAGUAGAUGUUCAUAACUUUGACUGUGCCCAAGUUGGAAGGGGUGUUACAUCUCCUCUCAGCCUCACUUUUUCAGCUUAUUCCUUUUUCAUUAUCAUGCAGGGAAGUCAAACUCUUGUGCUGUGAAAUUGCAAACUGUUUCCAUGGAGAUGAUUAAUCUGUUCAUAAAUCCACAAUAAUUCAUUCACUACAGGAUCAGGGAGUAUGAAACAUUAGCUGUGAAAAGAAUAAAAUGCCUUUAAAAACAGACUUUUUUCCUUCU
rnacentral:lncRNA from 1 species